GGACUACUGGGGUAUCUAAUCCUGUUUGCUCCCCACGCUUUCGCACCUCAGCGUCAGUACCGAUCCAGUGGGCCGCCUUCGCCACCGGUGUUCUUCCUAAUAUCUACGAAUUUCACCUCUACACUAGGAAUUCCACCCACCUCUAUCGGACUCAAGACUCGCAGUAUCAAAGGCAGUUCCGAGGUUGAGCCCCGGGAUUUCACCCCUGACUUACAAAUCCGCCUACGUGCGCUUUACGCCCAGUGAUUCCGAACAACGCUAGUCCCCUUCGUAUUACCGCGGCUGCUGGCAC
rnacentral:rRNA from 1 species